GGCGAACGGGUGAGUAACGCGUGAGAAACCUGCCUUUCAGUGGGGGACAACAGUUGGAAACGACUGCUAAUACCGCAUAAUGUCAUUUGGGGGCAUCCCUGGAUGACCAAAGUUUUAUUGCUGAAAGAUGGUCUCGCGUCUGAUUAGCUGGUUGGUGAGGUAGCGGCCCACCAAGUCGACGAUAGCUAGGGGAUCUGAGAGGACGGUCCCCCACACUGGUACUGAGACACGGACCAGACUCCUACGGGAGGCAGCAGUAAGGAAUAUUGGGCAAUGGGGGGAACCCUGACCCAGCCAUGCCGCGUGAAGGAUGGAGGCCCUACGGGUCGUAAACUUCUUUUGUCAGGGGAUAACAGACAGUACGCGUACUGUUUUGAAGGUACCUGAAGAAUAAGCAUCGGCUAACUCCGUGCCAGCAGCCGCGGUAAUACGGGGGAUGCGAGCGUUAUCCGGAUUUAUUGGGUUUAAAGGGUGCGUAGGCGGCCUGUUAAGUCAGCGGUGAAAUUCAGGGGGCUCAACUUCUGCGGUCCCGUUGAUACUGGCAAGCUUGAAUGCGGAUGCCGUGGGAGGAAUGUGGGGUGUAGCGGUGAAAUGCAUGGAUAUCACACAGAACACCGAUUGCGAAGGCAUCUCACGAAUCCGCUAUUGACGCUGAUGCACGAAAGCGUGGGGAUCAAACAGGAUUAGAUACCCUGGUAGUCCACGCUGUAAACGAUGAUGACUAACCGUCGGCGAUACACAGUCGGUGGCCAAGCGAAAGCGAUAAGUCAUCCACCUGGGGAGUACGACCGCAAGGUUGAAACUCAAAGGAAUUGACGGGGGCCCGCACAAGCGGAGGAACAUGUGGUUUAAUUCGAUGAUACGCGAGGAACCUUACCCGGGCUUGAAAGUUAGUGACGGACUUGGAAACAGGUCUUCCCUUCGGGGCACGAAACUAGGUGCUGCAUGGUUGUCGUCAGCUCGUGCCGUGAGGUGUCGGGUUAAGUCCCAUAACGAGCGCAACCCCUGCUGAUAGUUGCCAUCAGGUUAAGCUGGGCACUCUAUCGGGACUGCCUCUGUAAGGAGGAGGAGGGUGGGGAUGACGUCAAAUCAGCACGGCCCUUACGUCCGGGGCGACACACGUGUUACAAUGGUAGGUACAGAGGGCAGCCACCCAGCGAUGGGGAGCAAAUCUCGAAAGCCUAUCUCAGUUUGGAUUGGAGGCUGAAACUCGCCUCCAUGAAGUUGGAUUCGCUAGUAAUCGCGCAUCAGCCAUGGCGCGGUGAAUACG
rnacentral:rRNA from 1 species